rfam:Punctularia strigosozonata HHB-11173 SS5 unplaced genomic scaffold PTNSTscaffold_19, whole genome shotgun sequence.
GCCUGCUUGGCUAAGUGGCUACGGCGUCGCACUUGUAAUGCGAAGAUCACUCGUUCAAAUCGGGUAGUAGGCA